rnacentral:misc_RNA from 1 species
UCUCCGUUGGUGAACCAGCGGAGGGAUCAUUACAGAGUUUUUAACUCCCAAACCCAUGUGAACUUACCAUUGUUGCCUCGGCGGAGCCUACCCUGUAGCUACCCUGUAGCGAGUUACCCUGGAACGACUUACCCUGUAACGCCUGCCGGCGGACUACUAAACUCUUGUUAUUUUUAAAGUAAUCUGAGCGUCUUAUUUUAAUAAGUCAAAACUUUCAACAACGGAUCUCUUGGUUCUGGCAUCGAUGAAGAACGCAGC